GACGAACGCUGGCGGCGUGCCUAACACAUGCAAGUCGAACGAAGAAUGUUUUUCGGAAUAUUCUUAGUGGCGGACGGGUGAGUAACGCGUGAACAAUCUGCCCCGUACAAAGGGAUAGCCUCGGGAAACCGGGAUUAAAACCAUAUAACACUUAACUGCCGCAUGGUAGUGAAGUCAAAUCGAGUAAGAGGUAUGGGAUGAGUUCGCGUCUGAUUAGCUAGUUGGUGAGGUAAGGGCUCACCAAGGCGACGAUCAGUAGCCGGCCUGAGAGGGUGAACGGCCACACUGGAACUGAGACACGGUCCAGACUCCUACGGGAGGCAGCAGUGGGGAAUAUUGCACAAUGGAGGGAACUCUGAUGCAGCGACGCCGCGUGAGUGAAGAAGGUCUUCGGAUCGUAAAACUCUGUCCUUGGUGAAGAAAAGGACGGUAGCCAAGGAGGAAGCCCCGGCUAACUACGUG
rnacentral:rRNA from 1 species